UACGUAGGGUGCAAGCGUUGUCCGGAAUUAUUGGGCGUAAAGAGCUUGUAGGCGGUUUGUCGCGUCUGCUGUGAAAUUUCGGGGCUCAACCCCGAACUUGCAGUGGGUACGGGCAGACUAGAGUGUGGUAGGGGAGACUGGAAUUCCUGGUGUAGCGGUGAAAUGCGCAGAUAUCAGGAGGAACACCGAUGGCGAAGGCGGCAUUCUGGACCAUAACUGACACUGAGAGACGAAAGCCAGGGGAGCAAACGGG
rnacentral:rRNA from 1 species